UCCUGACCUUGUGAUCCGUCCCCCUCAGCCUCCCAAAGUGCUGGAAUUACAGGCGUGAACUACUGCGCCCAGCCAUAUUAACUCUUUAAUGGUGCUUCAGUUUAUUUUUGAACAGGGUAAAGUAGGAACUGGGGACCCCACAGGCCGCAGCUCCUUCCACGCAGGAGCCCUGCACAUCCGGUAGGCGUCUUUCCCUGACGACCCUCUCCUCAUCACCUCACAACCUGGGGAAGACAAGGGGCUGGGGACGCAGAGCAGCGCAAAGAGGGCUACAGGCUGGGGCUAAAGCCUCUGUGCUGAAACGGUAAAGGACGCCCCGGGGUCCCUGCACCGGAGGAGAGUGAGGACUGAGCUGUGGGGCAUUCAGGCUCACAGACCGUCCCGCCACCGCCAUUUCUGGCGGGUCCCAAAGAGGCCUCCCCCGUCUCCAAACGCCCUGCCCUGCACACCCACCUUUUCUUGGCUUCAGGAAUGUCCUGGAGUCUAUGAAUCUUCCAACACCAUCAGGUGAUGGAGGCUGAGACUGUGGCCGAAUCACCGAGACCUCGGAAAGAGGACACAAGGCAGUGAAGAGCUAACCUCGAGCUCUGGCUGGAGCAAGAGACAAAGGCCCCGCCAGGUACCGGCCCUGAGUGGAUAGAGCUCCAGGCUCUGAGCCCUCAGGCCUUGAGUGACAGAAGACACGACCAGACAUUGCACUGAAUAAGGGGACAUUGUGUCAUAUCGCUGGGCCCCACACAUAGGUUAUGUGACCCUCCUGCCUGUGCCCUGCCUGUGUGGGCCACUGUGACUUUUGUGGGGUCCAACACCCAGGUGAUGUAAGUCUACUGCCGAGGUCCUGCCUACAGAAGAUAUUGUGGCAUAUUCCUGCACCCAUCACUCAGGUUCUGCCCACAGAGGAUAUUGUGACAUGUCACUGGGCCUAAUACUACAGUGACAUACUCUUCUGCCUUGACACUGCCCUUAGAAGGCAUGGUGGUGUAUUGCUGGGCCCAGAACCAAUGUGGUGUGAGUCUCCUGCCUGGACCCUGCCUACAAGGUGCAUUGUGACAUAUCUCUGGGCCCUUUAUUUUAUGUGACUCUCCUCUCUUACCUGGAUGUUGCCCAAAAAGAGAUUGUGACAUAAAUCUGGGCCCAGCACAGAAGUGACGUGACUCUCCUCUCCUGCCUGUUCCUUGCCCACUGAAGAGUGAAUGAGUUAUUGCUGAGUUUAGCACACAGGUGAUGGGGAUUCUUCUGCCUGCUCACAGAAGUCAUUGUGACAUAUGUCUGGGCCUAUCACUAAGAUUAUGUGACUCUCUUCUUCGUGGAACCUGUCUACAGUGGGGAGUGUCACAUGUUGCUUGGCCCAGGACCUACAUGAUGCGACUCUCUUCUUAUGCCUAGGCCCUGCCCACUGGAGUGAUUUUGACAUGUAGCUGGGCCCAGCCCCAAGGUUAUAUGACUCCACACUUCUUCCUGAGCCCUACCCACAGGGGCAUUGUGUCAUAUCUCCGAGGCCUUCAGUGACGUGAUGUGACUCUUUUGUUUGGACCCUGUUCUCAGGAUAUUGUGACAUUGCUGAGCCCAGCAUCUAGGUGAUGCGACUCUUCUGUACUGUUUGGUCUCUACCCAAAAAGGGAUUGUGACAUAUCACUGUGUCAAGAACCUAGAUGAGGUGACUCUCCUCUCCAGCCUGAGACUUCCAUACAGUGUGUAUUGAGACAUAUCACUGGGUCCAAUACCUAGAUAAUGCAACUCUCCUUCAUGGGCCUUGCCCAUAGGCGUAUUACGAGCUAUGUUUCUAUUAAUCACCUAGGUGAUGUGACACUCCUCUUCUGCGUGGGCCCUGCCAAAAAAGUAUUGUUACAUAUAGCCGGGCCCAGCCCCCAGGUCAUGUGAUUCUUCUUCUUUUUUUUUUUUCCUGAGCCCUACCCACAGAGAAAAUUUUGACAUAUUUUUGGGCCCAUCAUUUAUGUGAUGUGACUCUUGCAUGGACCCUCCCUGCAAGGGGUAGGGUGACAUAUUGCUGAACCCAGUACGUAGGUGAUGUGACCCUCCUUUAUGGACUGGGCUUUGCCCAAGCAGGGAUUGUGAUGUAUUGCUGGGCCCCCCACCUCGCUGUUGUGAUUCUGCUCUUCCUCCUAAGCCCUGCAUACAUUGUGUAUUGUGACGUAUACCUGGAUUCAGCACCCAGGUGACACAACUUUAUGUCAUGAGAACUGCCCAUAGAAGCAAUAUGACAUAUUUCUUUUUCUUUUUCUUUCUUUUUUUUUUUUUUUUUUUUUUUGAGAC